AAUGAACGCUGGCGGCAUGCCUAACACAUGCAAGUCGAACGAGACCUUCGGGCCUAGUGGCGCACGGGUGCGUAACGCGUGGGAAUCUGCCCUUGGGUUCGGAACAACUCCCCGAAAGGGGUGCUAAUACCGGAUGAUGUCUUAGGACCAAAGAUUUUUCGCUGCUGGAUGGGGCUUCGUUGUAUUAGUCGGUUGGUAGGGUAAAAGCCUACCAAGGAGACGAUCGUUAGCUGGUCAGGGAGGAUGAGCAGCCACACUGGGGCUAGGACACAGCCCAGACUCCUACAGGAUGCAGCAGAGAAUAAUAUUGGACGAUGGACGGAAGGCUGAACCAGCAAUGCCGGGUGAGUGAUGAAGGCCGUGUGGUUGUAAAGCUCUUUUACCCAGGAUGAUAAUGACGGUACCGGGAGAAUAAGCUCCGGCUAACUCCGUG
rnacentral:rRNA from 1 species